GCGCAGCCGGGGCUGGCGGGCGGCGGGGUCCGCGGGGCCGCAGGAGAUGACGGCCGGCGGCCAGGCCGAGGCCGAGGGCGCUGGCGGGGAGCCCGGCGCGGCGCGGCUGCCCUCGCGGGUGGCCCGGCUGCUGUCGGCGCUCUUCUACGGGACCUGCUCCUUCCUCAUCGUGCUUGUCAACAAGGCGCUGCUGACCACCUACGGUUUCAAGCAUACUGAAAACGGGAAAGCAAAGGAGGAGUGAACAGGGCACACACAGUACUGGGAUUCCCCUCCAGCCUUUGAAAUUUCCCGUCACCAAUUUUCCUUGGAAUUGGACAGAUGGCAGCCACCAUAAUGAUACUAUAUGUGUCCAAGCUAAACAAAAUCAUUCACUUCCCUGAUUUUGAUAAGAAAAUUCCUGUAAAGCUGUUUCCUCUGCCUCUCCUCUACGUUGGAAACCACAUAAGUGGAUUAUCAAGCACAAGUAAAUUAAGUGAUGGGGUCUUUCAAUGUUGCUGUGUUACCCAGACUCAAAUGCAGUAGCUUUCACUGGUGCAAUCAUGGCUCACUGUGGCCUCAAACUCCUGGGCUCAAAUGAUUCUCCACCUCAGCCUCUCGAGUACCUGGGACUGCAGCCUACCGAUGUUCACCGUGCUCAGGAAAUUCACCAUUCCACUUACCUUACUUCUGGAAACCAUCAUACUUGGGAAGCAGUAUUCACUCAACAUCAUCCUCAGUGUCUUUGCCAUUAUUCUCGGGGCUUUCAUAGCAG
rnacentral:lncRNA from 10 species